rnacentral:lncRNA from 1 species
UGGAACCAACUUUUUUCUUUCAUAAUGACUCAAGAUCACCCAAUUUAGAUCUUCAACUCCCACAAAAAUUACUCGCUCCUCCUCCUUAUUCUUGCAUCCAAGAUGAUAGAGCUCUGGCCUAAAGAGAUCCCGUUGGCUAUGGUGAAUCCUCAAUAUCUAGUGGUUUUUACGAAUGACAUGAAAUUGAUGGAUCCUUGAGAAUCCAUUGUUAUUUUGGCUUUCUUCUUUGGAAUGGAUGACAUUGGGAAUUCUAUUCACUAUCUUCAAAGAAGUGGAUAAGAGCUGGGAGCUGUUCUGCAAUGACAGAACUUUUUUGUUUUCUUUCGUUUAUAACAUUUUAAUGUGAGUUUUAUCAGAUUCUUAAUUUGUACAAACUAAAAGUAACAUCUUGUAUUCAUUACAAACAAGUUUUAUGCUUUCCUUCAAAAAAUGUCUAUGUAACUUUGUUCUUUGCUAAAUCCAUUGCACUCUAUUUUUCUGACAUUCAUAUUGGCUAUUGUGUUUUUUUGCAGCUCAUAGUGUACAGGGGUGGCCACAUCACGGUUUUCGGAACAGGAACUACUGGUUUGGAACUGGUGAGAAUCAAAAUCGGUCCAAAUCAAAACCUAAACUGAUGCCCUGCGGUCCGAUAUUGGUUCCACCAUUUUUGGAACUGUGAACUGGUGGUUCGUCCGGAACCAACGGUUUUUCCAGCCAGUUGAAACCAGCAACUUCUUUUUUAAUUUUCAAAUAGUUUUAUGAAAUCCCCAAAUUACCCCUCUUAAUA